UUAGAGUUUGAUCCUGGCUCAGGACGAACGCUGGCGGCGCGCCUAACACAUGCAAGUCGAACGGAGUCAAGAGGAGCUUGCUUUUCUUUGACUUAGUGGCGAACGGGUGAGUAACGCGUGAGUAACCUGCCCUGGAGUGGGGGACAACAGUUGGAAACGACUGCUAAUACCGCAUAAGCCCACGGAUUCGCAUGGAUCUGCGGGAAAAGGAUUUAUUCGCUUCAGGAUGGACUCGCGUCCAAUUAGCUAGUUGGUGAGGUAACGGCCCACCAAGGCGACGAUUGGUAGCCGGACUGAGAGGUUGAACGGCCACAUUGGGACUGAGACACGGCCCAGACUCCUACGGGAGGCAGCAGUGGGGGAUAUUGCACAAUGGGGGAAACCCUGAUGCAGCGACGCCGCGUGGAGGAAGAAGGUUUUCGGAUUGUAAACUCCUGUCGUUAGGGACGAUAAUGACGGUACCUAACAAGAAAGCACCGGCUAACUACGUGCCAGCAGCCGCGGUGAAACGUAGGGUGCAAGCGUUGUCCGGAAUUACUGGGUGUAAAGGGAGCGCAGGCGGACCGGCAAGUUGGAAGUGAAAACUAUGGGCUCAACCCAUAAAUUGCUUUCAAAACUGCUGGCCUUGAGUAGUGCAGAGGUAGGUGGAAUUCCCGGUGUAGCGGUGGAAUGCGUAGAUAUCGGGAGGAACACCAGUGGCGAAGGCGACCUACUGGGCACCAACUGACGCUGAGGCUCGAAAGCAUGGGUAGCAAACAGGAUUAGAUACCCUGGUAGUCCAUGCCGUAAACGAUGAUUACUAGGUGUUGGAGGAUUGACCCCUUCAGUGCCGCAGUUAACACAAUAAGUAAUCCACCUGGGGAGUACGACCGCAAGGUUGAAACUCAAAGGAAUUGACGGGGCCCGCACAAGCAGUGGAGUAUGUGGUUUAAUUCGAAGCAACGCGAAGAACCUUACCAGGUCUUGACAUCCGAUGCAUAGUGCAGAGAUGCAUGAAGUCCUUCGGGACAUCGAGACAGGUGGUGCAUGGUUGUCGUCAGCUCGUGUCGUGAGAUGUUGGGUUAAGUCCCGCAACGAGCGCAACCCUUAUUGCCAGUUACUACGCAAGAGGACUCUGGCGAGACUGCCGUUGACAAAACGGAGGAAGGUGGGGAUGACGUCAAAUCAUCAUGCCCUUUAUGACCUGGCUACACACGUACUACAAUGGCGUUUAACAAAGAGAAGCAAGACCGCGAGGUGGAGCAAAACUCAAAAACAACGUCUCAGUUCAGAUUGCAGGCUGCAACUCGCCUGCAUGAAGUCGGAAUUGCUAGUAAUCGCGGAUCAGCAUGCCGCGGUGAAUACGUUCCCGGGCCUUGCACUCACCGCCCGUCA
rnacentral:rRNA from 1 species